rnacentral:misc_RNA from 1 species
AAGGUUUCCGUCGGUGAACCUGCGGAAUCAAAAACACGUAUCCAACGUUAAAACAACCUGGAACCUUCAAUCUUGCUCGCGUAGCCCCAUGAAAGCAGCAAUCUCUGGUACAUUGGCGACCAGAUUUUGAGUCAGGGACCUCUGCCGAUGAGAGUUACGCUCGUAUCGACGCAAGCGACUUGACCAAGCAACAGAGUUCUGAAAGUGUCUUUGAUUGUGUAAGGGUGGCGCAAACACGAUCGUUGGACACGGCCGACGGUCCCUGGGUCACCAUGCCCCUUAAUCACCACACUGUAACGCCGACGUCGCGAUAAUUCCGCUGACCACAAAAACCGAACAACUGUUAACAAUGGAUAUCUUGGUUCUC